AAACCAACAGGGAUUGCCUCAGUAACGGCGAGUGAAGCGGCAAAAGCUCAAAUUUGAAAUCCCCCGGGAAUUGUAAUUUGAAGGUGGCCUCAGUUAGUCCAAACAUUCUUAAGUCCAUUGGAAAAUGGCGCCAUGGAGGGUGAUAGCCCCGUAAAGAUGUCGUUUGUUCUAUUUUCUCUGGCCACCAAAGAGUCGAGUUGUUUGGGAAUGCAGCUCUAAGUGGGUGGUAAAUUCCAUCUAAAGCUAAAUAUUGGCGAGAGACCGAUAGCGAACAAGUACAGUGAUGGAAAGAUGAAAAGCACUUUGAAAAGAGAGUGAAAAAGUACGUGAAAUUGUUGAAAGGGAAGGGCUUGCAAGCAGACACAACCUCGUGUUGGGCCAGCAUCGGGGCGAGAGGAAGUAAAAACGAUUUGGAAAUGUAACUUUCGAGUAUUAUAGACCUUAUCCCUCCCUUCCAUCUCAUCCCGAGGCCUGCGGUUAUCCUAGGAUGCUGGCGUAAUGGUUGCAAGUCGC
rnacentral:rRNA from 1 species